GCCCUCUGGAGGCUCGUGGCCGCUCAGCCGCGGGGCGCGCCGGGAGCUCCUCCCCUCAGCUUGCCGGGGAGUUUUAGGGGGCGCUCCGCGGGGGUCUCUUUGCUGCUGCACGUUCGCAGUUAACCUCUGAGAACCAAGAGUGCUGAGGACCCAGGUUCCGCUUUUAGUUUUAAGAGAAAAUACGGAAGUUAGGGCAUAGAAUUAAAGUAUCUGUGAAGUUGGAACCAACCGGCCCCAGUCAUCUCGUAGCACCGGCGCGCCCCGCCUUUCCCUGAAGCCUGGAUGGCCACUCAGCGAACGUUCUCAGAAUGGGUUGCAUUUAGGAUCCCCACCGACCCUGUUGUGUAUUCAUUCAGCACUUUUGAGUAUCUGCUGUAUGCCAGGCGCUGAACUAGGACUUUGAAUCCGUUGAGGCAGCAAGCUUGCAGGACUACAGAUCCACAUUAGGUGCCUGCUCUGUAAAGCAUGGUGCUGGGGACUCUUGUGCUGGGCCAUGGACACAAAGAAGUAUAUCAUGCUUUCUUUACAUGGGCUUUCAAGAUGAAUAUUCCUAAAAGUAUGGCUCAGACUGAAUUACAACUUGCUCAGGCAUCUGCAGGUUUCAUUGCCUGUCAAAGUAAGUGUACAGUAAUUUUGGUUAGUCAUGUCAUAGACUAUUUCCCCCACUUUUUCUAUAUAGUAUACCUCUGUAUGCAUGCAGAGCUAAACCAAGAUACGUGGGUACAACACUUGAUGUCUGUAAUUCAAGUUUAUAUUUUGAAAAUAUCUGUAAAUUUAUUUAAUGGGCCUGAAAUUAGAUUUUUAUUUUACAUUUUAAGAAAUUUAAAAAAUCUGGGAGAAUACAAAGGACAAUAUAACAAAACACUCUCAUUCUCCUGAUAUAAAAAUAACAAUUAAAAAAAUCAUGUCUGUUUUUUUUUCAAGGGCUAAAACAUUAUGGUUUAAGACAUAGGUAACAAAGGUAACAAAGUCAACACCCUCAGUCUCAUUUACCUUUCUGUCCACCACCCAAAUCUUCCUCUAUGAAGUGUUUGAUGUGCCUCCUGCCUAACCAAUUUUUCAAAUACUUAUUUAUGCUUACAAACAAAUAUAGUACAGUUUGU